rnacentral:rRNA from 1 species
GAAACUAACAAGGAUUCCCCUAGUAACGGCGAGUGAAGCGGGAAGAGCACAAAUUUAAAAUCUACCUGGUUUUCAGGUCGAGUUGUAAUUUGAAGAUACGUUUUUGACGUUCUGGGUUGGACUAAAUCCUUUGGGAUAAGGUAUCAUAGAGGGUGAGAAUCCCGUAUAUACCAACCGUAGGGAUGUUAUUAAAUACGUUUCUAAGAGUCGAGUUGUUUGGGAAUGCAGCUCUAAAUGGGUGGUAAAUUUCACCUAAUGCUAAAUAUAAGCGAGAGACCGAUAGCGAACAAGUACAGUGAUGGAAAGAUGAAAAGAACUUUGAAAAGAGAGUUAAAUAGUACGUGAAAUUGUUGAAAGGGAAACGAUUGAAGUCAGUCGUGCCGGCGGGAAUCAACUUAGGGGAAACUCUGGGUGCACUUCUUCGUUUGGCAGGUUAGUGUCGAUUUUGGAUGUCAUAAAAUAAUUGGGGGAAGGUAGCUCCUUCGGGAGUGUUAUAGCCCUUGGUAGAUGUGAUGUCUGGGAUCGAGGAUUGCAACGGAUACCCUUCGGGGCUAACCGCCUGAUCUCUAAUUGGUGUUGGGUUACGGAUAGCAUGCUGACCGUGAUCUAAUUACUGGUUAAAAGGUUAGAGCGUGCAUAAAUUCGUUAAGGACGUUG